GGGGGGGGGGGGGGGCGGGCCUAGGACAGGCAAGUCGAGCGAGCAGAUGAGGAGCUUGCUCCUGUGACGUUAGCGGCGGACGGGUGAGUAACACGUGGGUAACCUAUCUAUAAGACUGGCAUAACUCCGGGAAACCGGGGCUAAUGCCGGAUAACAUGUUGAACCGCAUGGUUCUACAGUGAAAGGCGGCUUUGCUGUCACUUAUAGAUGGACCCGCGCCGUAUUAGCUAGUUGGUGAGGUAACGGCUCACCAAGGCAACGAUACGUAGCCGACCUGAGAGGGUGAUCGGCCACACUGGAACUGAGACACGGUCCAGACUCCUACGGGAGGCAGCAGUAGGGAAUCUUCCGCAAUGGGCGAAAGCCUGACGGAGCAACGCCGCGUGAGUGAUGAAGGUCUUCGGAUCGUAAAACUCUGUUAUUAGGGAAGAACAAAUGCGUAAGUAACUGUGCGCGUCUUGACGGUACCUAAUCAGAAAGCCACGGCUAACUACGUG
rnacentral:rRNA from 1 species